rnacentral:rRNA from 1 species
GACGAACGCUGGCGGCGUGCUUAACACAUGCAAGUCGAACGGUAAGGCCCUUCGGGGUACACGAGUGGCGAACGGGUGAGUAACACGUGGGUGAUCUGCCCUGCACUUCGGGAUAAGCCUGGGAAACUGGGUCUAAUACCGGAUAGGACCACUGCCUGCAUGGGUGGUGGUGGAAAGAUUUUGCGGUGUGGGAUGGGCCCGCGGCCUAUCAGCUUGUUGGUGGGGAGAUGGCCUACCAAGGCGACGACGGGGAGCCGGCCUGAGAGGGGGACCGGCCACACUGGGACUGAGAUACGGCCCAGACUCCUACGGGAGGCAGCAGUGGGGAAUAUUGCACAAUGGGCGCAAGCCUGAUGCAGCGACGCCGCGUGAGGGAUGACGGCCUUCGGGUUGUAAACCUCUUUCAGCACCGACGAAGCGCAAGUGACGGUAGGUGCAGAAGAAGGACCGGCCAACUACGUGCCAGCAGCCGCAGUAA